GAUGUUUCUCAUCACACCCCAAAGCUUUUCCAGGAGUCAAACGCAUCGGUUUCCCUCUCUUCCCCCAAGAAAGGGGAAGUUUGUGGCCGGUUGCAAUGAUAGCACCUGGAGUGGUGCUGCCCUGAAACAGGAUGAAAUGGCUGCAUCCUUCCGGGAGGCUGCCUCCGAAAGCAGAAUUGCCCUGUGAGCUGGAGAGGUGCCCCUGCAGUGAGGGCCCGUGCCCAGGGAGGCAUGGGGAGCUGGGGACUUGGCACUUUCCUGCCUAUCAUAGAGGACUGUGAUGUACGAUGCGUGCAGCCAUGUGCACACUGUGUGUGCCAGAACAGACCCUUUCAAGAGCUCCAGAAGACUUUUUUAGCCUCUUUCUUUCAUCUGCAAGACCAAAAAGGAAAGAGAGGUUUCUGCAACUGGGAAGCAGGAGAAGAGAGCGGAGGUACAAUUGCAGCAUGGCUGAGAGGAACAACAGUGAAGACACGAGGGUUGUCCUUGUUUCUCCCCAAAUUCCAUCACAUAUUUUCUUGUUUAAUGUCUGACCUUCUUUUUUGGUGCAUUUAAGAAAUAAGUUUUAUGACAGCAAGGAAAACGCAUCAUCUUUUCAGAGAGGUAUGCCAGGCCCUGCACAAUGUGGUUCGGCACUGUUUAAGAAUGGGAAGUAUUCCAAUAUACUGUGGUUCUCAGAUGCCCAAGGGAAAGAGACUUUUAUUAUCAUUGGUCACAGGGCUGCCAAAUGUUAUCUCAUAAAUUUGUGUCUUUCACAAUGGAUGAGGUGAGAAAUAACCUUGUUUAUUUAUUCUGGUUGGUUUAGGUGGUAAUGUCCACGGCAAUGAGAUAUAGCUACAUUGCUGUUGUGGUUAUUUGAAUACCUAAAAGAGUCUUACACUACAGAAGUUGUUCACUGAAUACAAAAUACAGUCCCCAAAGCUCUUCCAUAAAAACACAUUGUGGGAAAACACAACAACACAAGUAAUACUUGUUUUCUCUCUCAAAAAUUGCUCAAAAACACUUGGUUUUCAGAUGUGCAAUGCUGGGAAAGUAGUAUGUAACUGAUGGGGUGAUAGCUUCAAAAAGGGAAUGCUGCUUUUCAAGCAAUUCCCUUUUAAGCGGGCAUUACUUUGUGGAUUGAUCACUGGAGAAACAAAAGUGAGCUUGCACUUUUGAAAUCUACUGCAAAACUGGCACAGGCUUAAUAAGAAAGCAAGAUGCAAGUCAGUGGGUUUGAGGUGAGGUUAAUGUCCCAUUUUUCUGUGUUGUGAACAGUGGGGUGGUUUCUUUUUCCAUACAAUAACUUACAGGAUUGGGAAGAUUCUGCAAAAUCAUGUUCAUUUUGAGAAGAACUAAAGCAAAUGCAAAUGGGUCCCUGAGUUUUGAAGAGUACCAUGUGCUGUGUACAGUGUAAUAAAUCAAAACCUUUCUGUUCCUGUCGCGAUCUG
rnacentral:lncRNA from 14 species